rnacentral:misc_RNA from 1 species
AACGCACAUUGCGCCCCUUGGUAUUCCGGGGGGCAUGCCUGUUCGAGCGUCAUUUAAACAACCUCAAGCACUGCUUGGCAUUGGGUCUCUCGUCCCCGCUGUGGACGGACCCUAAAGACCUCGGCGGCGGCGCGAAGCCUCAAGCGUAGUAGAAAUAUCCCGCUUUGGAGACUUUGUGAUCGCUCGCUCCCAAAAAACCAUACCUCAAAUGUUGACCUCGGAUCAGGUAGGGAUACCCGCUGAACUUAA